AGGGGAAGGGGCCGGUUGGCAACAGCGGCAGUUGCUAACGGAGCGCUGAGAGGAGCUUGGGGCUGGCGGGGGCUGAAACCUGCACUCUUAAGUGUACCAUCACUUUUGUAGCAGUGUUGCUGUACAAUUCUGUCAGAUGUAAUCGCUUUGGAAAUGCUUUCAAAAGUAAUAUGGAAUGCUGUGGAGAAAUCUCAUGCUUUUAGAAAUAACGCUGGAACUGGACUGCAAGGAAAAAUAAACCAUGCUUGUUGCAGCUGAUCUAACUGUGGGGGACCUGCCUGUGAGACAUACAGGUCUAACUCCAGCUGGAAUUGAAGGAUUACAAGAGUCAUCAACUGCACAGAAUGUAGAAGCUCAGCAAGCUAUGUAACAAAUCAGUCAAGAAGAACUGGAGGACAGAUUUCUUCAUGUACAUGGUGAUCACGUCUUACUCAAGCAGCAUGCAAAUAAGCAAGAGGAGAAAAUGAAAAGACUAAACAUUCAGGACAAUGUGGAAAUUAUCGAGGUCUGUAAACAGCUGGUUGAGAAGAGCAGUGUUCCUUCAGCAAUGGAAGGAAAAUUUCUCCAGUUUCAAGAGAGAUUUGGAAUUUGAGCCUAAAGAACUCAAUGACCAGCCAUGAUGCUUUGUUAGCAAAAGGCGAUGAACUGAACGGACAGCUUAAAGAGGAGCGGCUAAAGUGGUUCCAUCUUCAAAAAAAAAAAUGCAAUCAGUAACUAUUUCAAGCAGAGGGACAGAAGAGUUACAGGAAGGAAUAAACAAUUCAGAAAAAGAGAAUGAAUUCUUGAAAAAAAACUACGAUAAGCUGCAUGAGUGUCUUCUGUAUGACCCAUGAACAGCAAUGGAAAUCAAAGGAACAGCAACUGAAACGCAAAUUGCUAAACUAGAGAUGGCUAUCAAAUCCGAUUUAGCAGACAAAAAUGCAAUCCUUGACAAGAUCAAAGUAGAAAGAGGAAGUUGAAAAAUCUGAAUUAAAAUUACAUCACUUGGUUUUACUAAGUCACAGAUUACAUCAGAUGAAACAAUACAGCAGCUGUGUGUAGAAUGCAGAUGAAACAAUUUCCCUGCAGAGGACAAUCCACUGUCACUUCCAAACCCAACAGGUGGUCAGAGGAGUGACUGUAACUAUAGCACUGGUGAACAUGUGACUAUUUGAACAACUUGAAGUACAAGUGGAAGGAGACUAAAAGAACAGGAGGUGUGGGAAACAUCUUAAUAAAACAUGAUAAAUGUGGAUCAGGCAGAUAAUUGUGCAGAAAGAGAGUAUCUCAAGUCUGUUCUAAAGCCAGAUCCACUCGCUGACAGAUCUGAGUUUCACGUCUUGGCCGGAAAACAGGUUUUACUGGAAUGCAGCAGGGAACACCAUGAAAUAAUUACUUGUUGGGAUGGAAAUACCAUACCAAAACAAUUCGUAGGUUUGGAGAUUUAAAAAAAAAAAAAGAUACUUCACUUAAUAAGCAAGCAAAUGAUUUAUUCUACCAUAUAGAAUAGGAAAAUGGAUAAUGUUGUUCUAAAAUUUGACAAUACCAAGGAUAAAAUACUCCUUUUUUUCUUUUUUUUCCCUGAGGGAUAAACUAGCAAUGGAAAAUAGCUAGCAUGUGGGAUGCAAUUUCUCCUAUAAAUACUUGAAUAUUUAUAAAAAUUGUUUUACAAGCCUGAUGUGAAAGUAAGUGCUCAGUGAUACCUCAGAAGAUGAACAGGAUGUUGAAUGUGAAGAUACUGAUUUUGCUUUGGUCCAUUUGAAAGAGAUACUCCAGAAGCAAAGAAAUAUCAUUGAACAAGACACUGAUGUUACAGUAUAACCUCCAGAGUGCAUCCAGCUUUUGUGUCCUCCAUAUGAAACUGUAUCUGAGACAGUGUGAAAUGCUGGGGGUGUUGUUUAGGGGUCAGUUUAGAGUGAGCACCCCUCUGAAAAAGACUGUGACCAGCCCUUCACUGUGACUCACCAAAGCAAGGUAAGGUGAGUAGGAGCUAAAGUGUCUUCCCAUUCCUGGGCCAUUGGAGAGUGUUUUUACAAUGCUCAUAAGAAGAUUUGAGAAGGUUACUCAGUCCUUUCACAGACAGCGAAGGAAAAUAUUCUCCUUGCUUAGAGUUUCCUGUUGCCUGUGGUAGCAGGGUCAUGGUUACAAAUGCUGCAUUUUUCUCCUCCCUCUUUGUCUCAAUCCUCUUUCCUGUUGUGGUGAAGCUCAGGGAAGAAGCUGAGAGUAUCUUUGUGAUAAAGCAGUCCCUCUGUGAGUACAUGAACCAGCUCCAAGACUGGACACAGUGCACACAAAGUGCAUGUUGAAGAGUAGAAAUUCCAGUUAGCCCUACUGAAAUGCCAGGCCAGUGUGACUGCUACUUCUGCUGUUGGGGAUAAUUACUGUACCUUGAGCGAUGGGGAGCUGAGUAUUGAGGGAAAGAAAUAGGCUUUCUUACCAUUUCCAUUAUCAUGCAUGAUUUUCAUCCAUGCAGCAGCUAAAAUACUCAAAGAAUGCAUCAAAGUUCCAAGAACCCAAUAAAGAAAAUGCUAAGAAUCAAACCUCCAUACUCUGGAAAAAUAAUAUAUGGAUUUGAUGCACUUCUUAAUGUGGCUGAACCACUUAAGCUUUUCUCCACCAAUAAUUUUUCUCCAAGUUCUUGUGCAAAAGCACAUCUCCAAAAAGGUAUUUUGUAGUCUCUCACUGGAAGAUUGUUUUUGUCCUGUAUUUUAACGCCAUAAUUUCCACUGUCAUAAUUCCUAUUUGGUAAGACUGAUUAGUGAUAUAAAUACAAUUUUUUACUCUUGAAAGUCACAUUUCACAAAACUUCUAAAAAUCCUAAUCAUCAUUUCAGAGAAUUAUUAUUACAGGAAUGACUGGUUUUUGUUACUAGUUAUUGUUCUGUUAAAAGCUAAUCAUUAUUAGGUAAUGACAGCUACUUCAAUACUGAGGAGCAUUUCUUCCCCUAAUUGUAAGACAUUUGAACUAAUUUUUACUUUAUGUGCAUUACAUCUAUUAAAAUGAUAGUAAUAGCUGAAAAUACUUUCAUUCUUUUUCCUGUCCGCAUUUCUGCCCUUCCCUAUAGAUGCCAUACAGUUAUUUUUUUUCUAUCGCAUCCAUAACAUAUAACAUUGCAUAUUUUCUGAAAAUUUAGAAAUUUCAGAGAAUUGAAAUUAAUUUUAUGUUAAUGUAUGUCAGAUCAUGGGAGAAGAACAUGUUAGUGUAUUUUCUCGGACAAAUUUAUUGGAAAAGGGUCUGCUCUUAAGAUCUGGAUGUAGACUUCAAUUAAAUUCAAUGGCACAAUAAAUAGAAUUCCUGAGCAAUAUGUGCACGUUCUCUGAGAUGGAUAUUGGUUUGAGGGAAAAAGAAUAAACCUAGACACAGAAAAAUUCAUAGGACACUACCACAUGAGGAUGUAGUCAUUCUCAAAUACCGUAAGCUUCCUUCAUUCUAUUUGAGGACUGCAAGCAUGUAUCUUUUUCAUAUCUUGUUCCUUCCCUUGCUGGUUGUGUGAAAGUGGCCUCCAUGAAAUUUGAAGCAAAUAAGUGAAUGACUAAGCAAGAGGAUGGAUGAAAAAGAGACUGUACAGUCAAGACAUCUAACAAUGUGUCUCAGAGAUAAUAUGACAAUAUGAAAACUGAGAAAAUAGAGUUAAUGUUCUGAUAUAAUUAAUUACAGUUAUCCUGCUGCUCUUACGGUAAAAACAAUACUGUCCCCUGAAGUCUGCUCUGAAGUUGACAGUUCACUGAGUUAUUUGUUCAAGGAUAUACAAAAUAGUUUGGAGCUCUAAGAAUAGCAUCCAAUCUGUCCUAUAAUAAGUCUUUCAACAGAGUAAAUGAUGGAAGGUUUAUCCCAUGUUUUCCCUUCACUAAACCUCUUCUGAGCUGUCCCGGCAGCCUAGAAGUUGCAACGUGAAGCAUCAUUGCAUGUCCCAGAGUACUUAUCCUAAUUGAUAGAGUAAAUACAUAACCUUGCCAUUUAUCAGCUGUAUAAUUUGCUUUGAAAAGAUGUGCCAUCAAGAUUAUUUGGUUUUAUUCAAAUUCCUUCUAGAGUCAUGUUAGGCAGCCUCAUUGCUUUUUGUGCAGGACUGGGAAAGAGCCUCAUUUUUGACUUAGCAGCAUGUAUUAAUCACAGCAGCAGAGAUUCUGGCCCUCUGGGCUUACUUAGAUAUUGUAAAAGAGUGCAAUUUUAAAUCAUGUCAGCUAAUUUCUGUAAAAUAGAAAUUUUAAAUACUACUUUAAAACCCCCAUACACAAAGAUGAAGGUAGUUAGUUUAGUCUAGGGAAAUUAUCAACUUUGUUGAUACUUCACUAUUUUACAAUACAGAAGCUUUACAACAUAGAAGCUUGGAAUUUAAAUCAUUUUGCAUUGCACAAACUGGAAAGAACAACUUACUGUUUAAAUACUAAUAAUUGUCCAGGCUAAUUUGGACCCGUCAUACACACAGUGUAGAAAAUGCAUUAAUUGGUAUAUAUGUUACUUAAAAUUAUUUCUAAAUAUGCAUAUAUGUUUUCAAUAGAGUUUGGAACACCUUUAUUUACACAUUAUGAAAAAAUACUAAUUUAUACGGGCAAUUAUUAUACAAAUAGUUUUAUUUAUUUCAGAGUUAAUUCCAGCACUAAUGCUUUCAUUGAUAUACAUGCUGGUUCUUAGGGUGCUCGGUUUCCAGUGGGCUGAGUACCUGAAAUGGAAGAUUUCUUUUUUAUUUAUUUACCUUUUUUUUUUUUUUCCGUAUACUAGGAGCCUUUUAAUCUGUCCAAAUGCUAAGGAAGAUUAUCAGAACAAAACUGAAACCUUAAAUGAAAUUGCUAAUGCUGUUCUGCAGUGUUUCCUUUCUAGUUUUUGAUUCACAAGAUGAUAGUGCAGUAAUUGGAAAGCUCAAAGGAACAGUGGAAGCCCUCCAUGCGCUGCCCUCAGUUGAGAGGGGAAUGCAAAGAUGACUACGAGGCAUGAAAGGAAGUUUGCCUACAGAAGAUCCUUCUCCCAGUGUAAAUACAUGCUUGAUAGUGCAUCAAAGAUGAGAUCUUUGUAAUUCUUACAGUAUAUUUAAUGUAUAAUUUAUAUGAAAAGGACGCUUGAUUUGUAGUUGUAAAGUUUUGUAUACUUUUCAGUCUGUUUGUUUUUAUAUUUCCCCCCUAAGGCUAAGAAUAUCUCCACAAUGGACAACGUCUUGUAAAUAAUUAAUACCUACAUGAUUGAAUGAUGUGCUUUAUUUGCAUUUUUAAGAUUUUUUCUUACAUAAAACAGUAAUAAAAAUGCAAGUCAAAAUUUUAAUUUUUAAUAAAAAAACCAUAAGCCUUAGAAAACUGAUUAAAAAUACUUUUAUGUUAUCCCUAAUCACCCCACUAAAUGGAAUGCCUAUGAUUAGCCUCAUUAAGAAUUUUAUACUGUGAAGAUUUUAUUAAAAGCAAUAUAUGAAAAUUACUUGGAUUAAUGUGUUAAUCUGCCUCUUUAAAAUGCUAAUAUCCAUUUUAUGCACAUUAAAUCUCAGUAUGUGUUUUCUUUGAUGCAUGCAGUUCCUAUCAAUUAAAUAUAAAAAAUUAGGCUAGUUGCAGGACUUAUUAAAUUACUGCAACCUUUUUUUAAAUAACUUUUACCCUUCUACAAACAUUAUAAUCAGCUGUUUAUGGUUACCAUAAUUUGAAGUAGGGGGAGGGCAGGCGCAAUCAUUUUCUGUACAGUAGAUGAUUUACUUGCAGCCAACAUCUGUCAAAGUACAAAAAGAAGCCAUAGAGUAUCAGAUUUUGCUUCACCUACUUUGGGUUUAGGGAUGGGCAACUGUGUUUUCAUUUGGGUUUUGUCACUUUUAGAACUUACAUCAAACAUAUACAAUAAAUUGUUGUAUCUGAAUAACUAGUGUCUAGUGUGGAAACGUAAUUUUACAGCUUUUAACCAAUCUCAGUGAAGGAUUUAAUUGAUAUUUUUAAUGGAGCUGUGAAUCAAUGCUGCAAAAGGAUUGUCUCUUGAGAACGAGGAUAUAAUACGUUUCAUUUUUUAAUUUACUUUUUUAUUUGUCAUUUUCUUCAAAGGAUUUUAUAGACUGUGGAUUUCCACUGUUUGCAAACAGGCUAUGUUUCUUCAUAAGCAUAUGUAAAGUAUUCAGAGAGAUAAGUAAUUUAUUAAAAUCUACCUAAUUUGCCGUGAUAUAUUAAAUCUCUGCUUCAGUGAUCACAGACCAUUUCAUUUAGAGAAUUAGGCAUUCCCUCUUUGUGUGAUUAAAGCUCUGGAAAAUGAGUUCUUUGCUCCUAUUUGUGAACAUUCAAAGCCUGCUAAUGGCAAGAAGAUGGAAUAGAUUAUGAGACAAUUCAUUACAGUUCAACAGAAAAAACCCCUGCUAUAAUGCAGAAAUGCAAGUAUGAAUAUCUGCAUAUAGUUUGAACCAUCUGUGCUCUAAUGGCUUCAGUAAUGGCUCUUCGUCUUCAGUAGGCUUUGAAAUGACAUCCAUACAAUAUUAAUUUGUUGAUGUACAUUAUGAGGCCAAUGGAAUGAAUAUAUUCUGACCACAGAAAUCUCUGAAUUCCAACAUGAUCUGCUGUUGACUCCAUUUUAGGACCUACCAUCUUCAGCAGUACUUCUCAUCCAGACUUUGCCAAUCCUCAAAGAGUUUCAUUCUUCUGGAACUUUAGGAGACCACAGACAGCUGCAUUCCUAAACCCCUCCAUUCUUCAGUUAAUGGCCAUAUGUUUGUUGUCAUUUGGGCUGGCGCUUAGUUCAUCAUUUUGGCCACUAUUUCUAGCUUUUUUUGGCUCUGUGCAUCUAUAUUGUCAAUAAGACUGUUAUUAUACAUUACAAUAAUUUGAAACAGCCAGAUUCAACACUGAGAUUAACUGAGUGGCUUUUUAGAAAUUUAGUUGUGGUAUUGUGUCAGAAGGUUCUUAUUAUUCUUCUAAUACUUUGCAAACCAAACUAAAUAUCCUGCACAUAAACAAAGAAGCAAAUUGUAUUGAGUUUUCUUGUGUGACUGUUUACUGACUUGCAGGAGAACUAUGUUAACUGGUGCUUGUUUUCUUCUGAAAUAAACCAUGUGGUAAAAUUAGAAAA